GAUUCCCCUAGUAACUGCGAGUGAAGCGGGAAAAGCUCAAAUUUAAAAUCUGGCGGUCUUUGGCUGUCCGAGUUGUAAUCUAGAGAAGUAUUAUCCGCGCUGGACCGUGUACAAGUCUCCUGGAAUGGGGCGUCAUAGAGGGUGAGAAUCCCGUCUUUGACACGGACUGCCAGGGCUUUGUGAUGUGCUCUCAAAGAGUCGAGUUGUUUGGGAAUGCAGCUCAAAAUGGGUGGUAAAUUCCAUCUAAAGCUAAAUAUUGGCGAGAGACCGAUAGCGAACAAGUACCGUGAGGGAAAGAUGAAAAGAACUUUGGAAAGAGAGUUAAACAGUACGUGAAAUUGCUGAAAGGGAAACGCUUGAAGUCAGUCGCAUUGGCCAGGGAUCAACCUUGCUUUUUUGCUUGGCUUACUUUCUGGUCAAUGGGUCAGCAUCAAUUUUGACUGGUGGAAAAAGUUCAAGGGAAUGUGGCAUCUUUGGAUGUGUUAUAGCCUUUGUUCACAUACAUUGGUCGGGAUUGAGGAACUCAGCACGCUGCAAGGCCGGGUUUUUAACCACGUACGUGCUUAGGAUGCUGGCAUAAUGGCUUUAAUCGACCCGUCUUGAAACACGGACCAAGGAGUCUAACAUGCCUGCGAGUGUUUGGGUGAAAAACCCGAGCGCGUAAUGAAAGUGAAAGUUGAGAUCCCUGUCAUGGGGAGCAUUGACGCCCGGAUCUGACCUUUUGUGACGAUUCUGCGGUAGAGCAUGUAUGUUGGGACCCGAAAGAUGGUGAACUAUGCCUGAAUAGGGUGAAGCCAGAGGAAACUCUGGUGGAGGCUCGUAGCGAUUCUGACGUGCAAAUCGAUCGUCAAAUUUGGGUAUAGGGGCGAAAGACUAAUCGAACCAUCUAGUAGCUGGUC
rnacentral:rRNA from 1 species